rnacentral:rRNA from 1 species
GACGAACGCUGGCGGCGUGCUUAACACAUGCAAGUCGAACGGCAAGACCCUGCUUUUGUGGUGUGCCCGAGUGGCGAACGCGUGAGUAACACGUGAGUAACCUGCCCUUGACUUUGGGAUAACUUCAGGAAACUGGGGCUACUACCGGACAGGAGCUCCUGCUGCAUGGUGGGGGUUGGAACGUCUAGGCGGUCGGGGAUGGACUCGCGGCUUAUCAGCUUGUUGGUGGGGUAGUGGCUGACCAAGGCUUUGACGGGUAGCCGGCCUGAGAGGGUGACCGGCCACAAGGGGACUGAGGGAGGGACCAGACGCCAAUGGGAGGCAGCAGUGGGAAGUAUUGCACAAUGGGCGGGAGCGUGAUGCAGCGACCCCCCGUGUGGGAUGACGGCCUGCUGGUUGUGAACCGCAGUCGCCUGUGACGAAGCGGGUGUGACGGUAAUGGGUGAAGAAGCACCGGCUAACUACGUG